GAUGAACGCUGGCGGCGUGCUUAACACAUGCAAGUCGAACGGAAAGGCUCCUGCUUGCAGGGGUACUCGAGUGGCGAACGGGUGAGUAACACGUGGGUGAUCUGCCCUGCACUUCGGGAUAAGCCUGGGAAACUGGGUCUAAUACCGGAUAGGACGAUGGUUUGGAUGCCAUUGUGGAAAGUUUUUCGGUGUGGGAUGAGCUCGCGGCCUAUCAGCUUGUUGGUGGGGUAAUGGCCUACCAAGGCGUCGAAGGGUAGCCGGCCUGGGAGGGUGUACGCCCACAUUGGGACUGAGAUACGGCCCAGACUCCUACGGGAGGCAGCAGUGGGGAAUAUUGCACAAUGGGCGCAAGCCUGAUGCAGCGACGCCGCGUGGGGGAUGACGGCCUUCGGGUUGUAAACUCCUUUCGCUAGGGACGAAGCGCAAGUGACGGUACCUGGAGAAGAAGCACCGGCUAACUACGUG
rnacentral:rRNA from 1 species